UUUUUUUAUAAAAGGUGUAGAGUAAAGUAUUGUUUUUGUCCCCAACGUUUGGAGUAAGUCCUAAAAUUGUCCCUAAUGUUUCAUUCGUCCUAUUUUUGUC